GACAGAGGGUGCAAACGUUGCUCGGAAUUACUGGGCGUAAAGGGCGCGUAGGCGGGAUGGCAAGUCGGUCGUGAAAUCCUUCGGCCCAACCGAAGAACGUCGGCCGAUACUGCCGUUCUUGAGGGAUGCAGAGGAGACUGGAAUUCCCGGUGUAGCGGUGAAAUGUGUAGAGAUCGGGAGGAACACCGGUGGCGAAGGCGGGUCUCUGGGCAUUUCCUGACGCUGAGGCGCGAAAGCGUGGGGAGCAAACGGG
rnacentral:rRNA from 1 species